rnacentral:tRNA from 1 species
GGUUUUAUAGUUUAUAAAAAUAUUAAAUUGCAAAUUUAAAGUUGAUUAAUUUCUAAAACUU